CAGCCGCCGCGGUAAUACGGAGGGGGCUAGCGUUGUUCGGAAUUACUGGGCGUAAAGCGCACGUAGGCGGCUUUGUAAGUUAGAGGUGAAAGCCCGGAGCUCAACUCCGGAAUUGCCUUUAAGACUGCAGAGCUAGCAGGUGAGAGAGGUGAGUGGAAUUCCGAGUGUAGAGGUGAAAUUCGUAGAUAUUCGGAGGAACACCAGUGGCGAAGGCGGCUCACUGGUCCAUUACUGACGCUGAGGUGCGAAAGCGUGGGGAGCAAACAGGAUUAGAUACCCCUGUAGUCCCUGUCUCUUAUAC
rnacentral:rRNA from 1 species